GUUAUCAUACACCCAUGUAUGGUGGCAUGGUGUAGGAUUAUGUUUACCAUACACCCAUAUAUGGUGACAAGGUGUAGGAUUAUGUUAUUAUACACCCAUAUAUGGUAGCAUGAUGUGGGAUUAUGUCAUCAUACACCCAUAUAUGGGGACAUGGUGUAGGAUUAUGUUAUCAUACACACAUAUAUGGUGGCAUGGUGUAGGAUUAGGUUAUCAUACACCCAUAUAUAUGGUGACAUGGUGUAGGAUUAUGUUAUGAUACACCCAUAUAUGGUGGCAUGGUGUAGGAUUAGGUUAUCAUACACCCAUAUAUAUGGUGACAUGGAGUAGGAUUAUGUUAUCAUACACCCAUAUAUGUGGUGACAUGGUGUAGGAUUAUGUUAUCAUACACACAUAUAUGGUGGCAUGGUGUAGGAUUAUGUUUACCAUACACCCAUAUAUGGUGACAAGGUGUAGGAUUAUGUUAUUAUACACCCAUAUAUGGUAGCAUGAUGUAGGGUUAUGUUUACCAUACACCCAUAUAUGGUGGCAUGGUGUAGGAUUAUGUUAUCAUACACCCAUAUAUGGUAUCAUGAUGUAGGAUUAUGUUAUCAUACACCCAUAUAUGGUGGCAUGGUGUAGGAUUAUGUUAUCAUACACCCAUAUAUGGUAGCAUGAUGUAGGUUUAUGUUAUCAUACACCCAUAUAUGGUAGCAUAAUGUAGGAUUAUGUUUACCAUACACCCAUAUAUGGUAGCAUGAUGCAGGAUUAUGUAUAUCAUGCAUCCCUAAAUGGAAGCAAGAUUUAAGAGUGUAUAUUGUAGAAUAUAUGGUAGUAUACUAUUGAAACAUAAAUUUACUGAAUGCAACUGAUGUUCUACAUGUAGAAAGCUAUCCCUUUCUGUGAUAUUUAUCUUCAACAAUUAUUACUGUGAUUGACCAUAUUUUAGUGGUGAUCACAUUUAGUGAUUAACUUAUUUUAGCCAUUCUUUACCUGUAGAUGAGCAGGUGAUGGUAACUGUAUGAUAGUACAGGUGUACUAGUGUAUAUUAUCUGUUAAAAGCGUUAAACAAGAGAUGUAAUUGUAGGAGUACUGAAUUAGACAGGGGAGGGUACUUUGAUAGUACUACAGCGUCAGAUUAACUGGUCUGGAACUGAAAUAUUAACAUUAAUAAUAUAGCACUUUUGUGUCAUAAUAUAAACAAUACGAAUAUAGUAGUUUUUAGUGUGAGCUAGUCGUGUAUCUGUCUAAACUUUUCCAGUGUCAAGAUUACUAUAUCUCCAUGUUUUAAAUGUAUUUCCUCACAUGAUCAGCCUGCUACACAAAAUGAAGAAAUAUCUAGAUCACUGAUGUAUAGGGUGUCAUUUUUUUCAUAAAUGUUUUGUAACAAGUUAACCGGGUAUUCAUUUUAGCAAAGCUCUGCCUGGCUUAAAGAAAAUCUUUGAGAUGGGUUUAUGAACCUUUUAGGGGGCAGGUAUAAUACAAUUGACCUGUAAGAAGGCAGGAAGAUGCUAUGUAGUGUUGUGACACCUGAUUUUUGCGUCAUGUUUAUAAACUGUUCAAAGUACUUUCGUGAUAUGAUAGGCAUAUACUUACACUGGUAUAGGUAUGUAACUAUAUCAGUCAUGCAGCAUUCAGAAUUUCUGUGAGGAUUCAAAGCAAUGUAUACAAAUCCUUCAGGGUAUCUAGAUAUCUAGGUUUGUCUGUCUAUUGAUUCAGGGUAUCUAGAUAUCUAGGUUUGUCUGUAUAAUGAUUCAGAGGAUGGGUAUCUAGGUUUGUCUGUAUAAUGAUUCAGAGGACGGGUAUCUAAGUUUGUCUGUAUAAUGAUUCAGAGGACAAGUAUCCAAGUUUGUCUGUAUAAUGAUUCAGAGGACGGGUAUCUAGGUUUGUCUGUAUAAUGAUUCAAAGGAUGGGUAACUACGUUUGACUGUCCAUUGAUUCAGAGGAUGGGUAUCUAGGUUUGACUGUCUAUUGAUUCAGAGGAUAGGUAACUACGUUUGUCUGUCUAUUGAUUCAGAGGACGGGUAUCUAGGUUUGUCUGUCAUUGUUUCAGAGGACGGGUAUCUAGAUUUGUCUGUCUAUUGAUUCAGAGGAUGGGUAUCUAGGUUUGUCUGUCAUUGUUUCAGAGGACUGGUAUCUAGGUUUGUCUGUCUAUUGAUUCAGAGGAUGGGUAUCUAGGUUUGUCUGUCUAUUGAUGCAGUGGGCUGGUAUCCAAUGCUGUCUGCAUAUUGAUUUAGAUGACAGGUAUCUAGGAUUGAAUUUUGAAGAUUUGCUGACGAUUUCUGGAACUUACAUUCAAAGGCAAACUUCACAUUUAUUUGAAGAGAGGGCUUAUGUAAAUUAGAAAUGUCUCAAAUGUUUUUUUAGACAAGAUACCUACAACUGUUGAUAAUGAGGUGACCUACCGUCAAAGCAUUGUUUUUUGUUUACGUUUUUCCUUUUUGUAAACUUUGUCAAUGUUUAAAAUAAUCCAAUGACAUUAUAGAACUCAAAUGGUAGCUGUUGUUUAAUAUAAUUAAUUUAUCUUUUAUGAGGAAGGCUUAUGUGUGCUAAUCCGUUUGUGUAUAUAUUUUGUAGAUUCUUUCCACUAUGUCUAUGUAAUAUGUGAUUGAUUUAUGAGUAAUAUUUGUAUUGACGUUAUAAACACAUCUGCUUUAUAAGUCAUUUUCUGUCAGCCAUUUCUAUGUCGAUUUUUUUUCUUAAUAAAAAAGUUUUUUAAAAAAGACCACC